rnacentral:rRNA from 1 species
UACGUAGGGUGCAAGCGUUAAUCGGAAUUACUGGGCGUAAAGCGUGCGCAGGCGGUUAUGUAAGACAGAUGUGAAAUCCCCGGGCUCAACCUGGGAACUGCAUUUGUGACUGCAUAGCUAGAGUACGGUAGAGGGGGAUGGAAUUCCGCGUGUAGCAGUGAAAUGCGUAGAUAUGCGGAGGAACACCGAUGGCGAAGGCAAUCCCCUGGACCUGUACUGACGCUCA